UGACGCCAAGAAAUUAUACAUUGAGUUUAAAUAAUAUGUCAACCACACACUAAAGCCUGUAGCGAACGCUGGUACCAUUGGAAACACAGUGCGCAUUCUCACAUUCGGCGGACGGAACGGGACGAACACUCUGGGAUUCACAUCACAAUAAGUCAUGCACGAG